UGCGUCCUUCUGCCUGGAAGGGUUGUGACACAGGGAAGUGAGGAAGGGGCUGGCCGGGGUCAGCCUCUGCUGAGCCUCAGCUCUGGCUGCUGCUCCUGCUUCCCGGGUACACCCAAAAGCUGUCAUGAUCAAAAGAGCAGGCAGCCCUUCUGUCCUGAGUCACAGGGGCCAUUUCUUCCUGAGUGACUCAAGAUGGGAAAUCAUUCUUGGAGCUUCAAAAGAAAAAAAAAAAAAACCUCACGCAAUCAUUUGUAAGUGUGUAUAUAUACACAUAGAUUUCCUUCAAUGAAGAAGAAAAUCUUAGAAAUAUCAUGUCACGUCUGGCUUCCUAGAGAAAAUCCUUAUCUCUGGGCUUCUGAAAUCAAAUGUCUGUGCAUUUAUAGAGCAUUUCCCCUCUUUUUAUGUGCCUCCCACAGUGAUCUUCUACCCUGCCCCACGGCAAGAAGAGUUUGGUGAUUUUGCUGCUCUGCUCUCUCAAGGGUGUUGCAGGCUGCGUAGCAGGGAGUGAAGCCCUUGUCGCUGCUCAUCAGACACUUUCCUACAGAAUUCUCCCUGCAGUGAUAAAAUUAGACUGGUGUUAGUGAGCUGCCAAGUAGAGCAGGUAACAUUGGACAAGAAUGGUUUCUGAGCUGCUGUUCACUAGCACGUGUUUCCCCUUUCCAGCGCGGUGCCGCCGCCCAAGAAAGGAUUUUUGUGGGUCAGCCAGAUGUGCUCCUGCCUCCCACUGAGGCUCUGAGAUGGAGCCGAGUUUGCAUUCCAGUUUAUUGCAACAGAGGGUCACGGGAAAUUUCCUCAGCUAUCUCAGGCACAGAGCCAUGGAAGCAAGACAGCACGAAGACUGAACGUGUAAGAAGAUGUGGGGUGCAAUGGAGAACCUGGCAGGAGCAUCCGACGCACACGUGCACGAGUUUUGCUUUUUGCUUGGAUUGAAACUCAAAAGUUGUAAGGAAUUUGGGAAUGAGAUGGGACGUUUCAGAAGAAGAGGAAGGAGGAGAAGAAGUUGUUGUUACAGUCCUGGCAAAAUCCUUUGUUCUAGCUAAUAAAAGAAGUUA